CCUACGGGGGGCAGCAGUGAGGAAUAUUGGUCAAUGGACGAGAGUCUGAACCAGCCAAGUAGCGUGAAUGAUGACUGCCCUAUGGGUUGUAAACAUCUUUUAUAUGGGAAUAAAACAGGGUAUGCAUACCCUCUCUUAUGUACCAUAUGCAUAAGGAACGGUUAACUCCGUGCCAGCAGCCGCGGUAAUACGGAGGAUCCGAGCGUUAUCCGGAUUUAUUGGGUUUAAAGUGAGCGUAGGUGGAUUGUUAAGUCAGUUGUGAAAGUAUGCGGCUCAACCGUAAAAUUGCAGUUGAUACUGGCAGUCUUGAGUCCAGUAGAGGGGGGCGGAAUUCGAGGUGUAGCGGUGAAAUGCGUAGAUAUCACGAAGAACUCCGAUUGCGAAGGCAGCUCACUGGACUGCAACUGACACUGAUGCUCGAAAGUGUGGGUAUCAAACAGGAUUAGAUACCCGAGUAGUC
rnacentral:rRNA from 1 species